UUGUGAAAGAAUGGCAGCCUUGCAGUCUUCAUUUCAUUAACUUUAUAAGCUUUAGAAACUGGAUAAGAACAUGCAGGGUUCUGGGUGAUUAAGAACCGUGGUUGGUAAUUACUCUUGAUCUCGAUGUUUCUUGAAGUUCUGUUAAAUUUUUCAACUCUUGCAUGGUGGAGUACUUACCUAGAGAUUGUACUCAUGUUGAAUGUAUUAUUUCUGCCAAGCACAACAAAGAUCUAAUUUUGCUUUUUCCAUUAAAUUGUUACCUCUUGUUUUGGAGAUCCCUUGCCUAUGCAUCAACUCAUCCCUAAUUGAGGUAAA
rnacentral:lncRNA from 1 species